CCUACGGGGGGCAGCAGUGGGGAAUAUUGGACAAUGGGGGGAACCCUGAUCCAGCGACGCCGCGUGAGUGAAGAAGUAUUUCGGCAUGUAAAGCUCUAUCAGCAGGGAAGAAAGAAAUGACGGUACCUGACUAAGAAGCCCCGGCUAACUACGUGCCAGCAGCCGCGGUAAUACGUAGGGGGCAAGCGUUAUCCGGAUUUACUGGGUGUAAAGGGAGCGUAGACGGCGAUGCAAGUCUGAAGUGAAAGGCGGGGGCCCAACCCCCGGACUGCUUUUGAAACUGUAUGGCUGGAGUGCAGGAGAGGUAAGUGGAAUUCCUAGUGUAGCGGUGAAAUGCGUAGAUAUUAGGAGGAACACCAGUGGCGAAGGCGGCUUACUGGACUGUAACUGACGUUGAGGCUCGAAAGCGUGGGGAGCAAACAGGAUUAGAUACCCUUGUAGUC
rnacentral:rRNA from 1 species